UUCGGUUGAUCCUGCCGGACCGACUGCUAUUUGGGUGAGACUAAGCCAUGCGAGUCGAAUGGGAUACCUAAAUUUCCCAUGGCAGACUGCUCAGUAACACAUGAUCAACUUACCCUAUGGAGAAAAAUAACCUCGGGAAACUGAGGAUAAUGUUUCAUAGUUGAAAAGGCUUGGAAAAGUUUUUCAAUGAAAGGCAUAAGGAAAAUGGUUCUUAUUUGCCAUAGGAUAGGAUCGUGGUCGAUUAUGGUAGUUGGUGAGGUAACGGCUCACCAAGCCGAUAAUCGAUAGGGGCCGUGAGAGCGGGUGCCCCGAGAUGGGUACUGAGACAACGACCCAGGCCUUACGAGGCGCAGCAGGCGCGAAACCUCCGCAAUACACGAAAGUGUGACGGGGUUACCCAAAGUGUUCUCUUUAGAACUGUGGUAGUUGGGUAAUGUCCCCUACUAGAAAGGAGAGGGCAAGGCUGGUGCCAGCCGCCGCGGUAAAACCAGCUCUUCAAGUGGUCGGGAUGAUUAUUGGGCUUAAAGUGUCCGUAGCCGGUUUAGUAAGUUCCUGGUAAAAUCAGGUAGCUUAACUAUCUGCAUGCUAGGAAUACUGCUAUACUAGAGGGCGGGAGAGGUCUGAGGUACUACAGGGGUAGGGGUGAAAUCUUAUAAUCCUUGUAGGACCACCAGUGGCGAAGGCGUCAGACUGGAACGCGCCUGACGGUGAGGGACGAAAGCCAGGGGAGCGAACCGGAUUAGAUACCCGGGUAGUCCUGGCCGUAAACGAUGCAUACUAGGUGAUGGCACGGCCAUGAGCCGUGUCAGUGCCGUAGGGAAACCGUUAAGUGUGCCGCCUGGGAAGUACGGUCGCAAGGCUAAAACUUAAAGGAAUUGGCGGGGGAGCACCACAAGGGGUGAAGCCUGCGGUUC
rnacentral:rRNA from 1 species